GUCAUAAAAUGUGGAAAAGCAUAAUAGGUCUACUUUACGGGACUUCCGCAUUCGCCUCAGUUCUGACCGGAAAGCGUCCCUUUUGGAUCUUACCAAGUGCCAUGAGAGUUUACAGGUGUCCAUCUGUAAUCAAGUGGGUAUCCUGAAUAAUCAGUUCCAGUACCUGGGACUCCGAUCCUGUCACUCCUUCCUGGUCCAUUAUGGGCUCCACUUUGAGCCACAGAGUUUCCCCCUUCAGCCCCUCUGCUGCUCAAGAGGAACCCAUGCAGAUCCAGACUCAUUCAGGAGGAGUGACAGCAACAUCUGCGGGAGUGGUGUUAAAUCUGUUCCCAGCUGAAGAAGAUGGCGCUUUAACUGAACAACCGACACAUGUCGACACAUCUGGAAUGGGGCUUGAUAGGCGUUCUUAAGAAGUUUGGUGUAUUGUAACAGAGUAGCUGAUGGCCAGCGGAGUCCUGCUCCAGCCUAAGGUCCAGAGAAUGUGGUUGUCUACACAGGAACACUGUAAGUGGAGUCUCGCAAACUGGCUUCUCGAUUUGUGGGCCCUUUCCCUGUUACUAAGGUGGUCAACCCAGUGGCUGUGCAACUCAAACUGCCCAGGGCUAUUAGGGUCCAUCCCACGUGGUCCCUGCCUCCACAGGCACAGACACACGUUCCUGUCUACAUGUGGAGCAGCGGUGGAUCAAGUGAGCAGUUUUAGGUUCCUGGGAAUCAGCAUCACAAAGAACCUGGUAAACACUGGUAAAGACAAAAAAAAAAAAGGAAAAAUUCCUGUGCCACGUUCUUGGCUCCUUAACUUUUAGAGACGAACAAUAGAAAGCAUGAUUACUGAAAAUAAUAAAAACUGGCAUGGAAUGUGCACGGCCCAUGAUCAGAGGACUCUGCAGCGGGUGAUUAAAGCUGCCCAGAUCAUCACUUGUACCCAUCUACUGAGCAGCCUGCGCAGGCCUAAGGAUACAGGAUACUUAAAGACAGUACCCUCCUCAAAUGCUAAAGACAAAUAGAGCUGUGUAUCAUUCACUUUUCCAUUUGAUAUAUAAUAAUUAUACUGCAGCACAUUAACUAAGGGACCAAAAUGCACAACCUCAUUUACACCAGUGUUUGCUGGCCAGUGGCUAUAAUUGACCUGAAUGGCUUUUCGAGUCAUAAGAUAUACUUGAAUUAAGAGAUAGUUAAUUGCAUCACUGAAAACAUACUCUAGCCCAGGGCUCUUUGCUCUCUGUUCAAGCCUUAUUAAGACUCCUAUAAAGCAUUACAUACACCUGCAAAAACACACAGCUUCUUUUCCAGCACUAAAAAACUUUGAAAGUUUAUUCAGAGGAAAUAUGCUCUGUCAUCAGUGCAUCAUACAUCAUGCUUAUUAAAGCACCAAACAUUGCUUAUUAAGUUACCAAACAGUGUGCUCUUGCAAAUACAAACAAAAUACACCUUUCACCAAGAUGUUGAGUGACUCCUGAUAUUAAGACUUUAAUUAGUAGCCGGCCUGCUGAGAGCUUAGAAAAAGCUGUGCUGUGUGCGUGUUAAGCAGCAUCCUAACUUCCAUCCUCCAGGUCACUAACUGUAUAUUUCAAAGAACAUUUGCAAUCCCAAGAGGUGGAUAUUGUUUUUGGUUUUGUUUUAUUUUCAGUUUCCUCUCAUCUCCAUCCCACUGAAGAAGGCUUGAGUGUAGCAGGAGAAUGCAUGGACGUGCUGCCCAGACAGUGCAGGUGCUUCUGCGGAUUAGCCUUAAGAGACGCUUGCUGCCUCCCUAAACAAUGCUGCCCCCUGAGCCCUAUGUGGAUUAUAAUGAAGACACAAUAUCUACACGGCCGUGUACCUGCUAGCCCCUUCUCUCAUCAAGCCUGUUGGGUGAUGUUCCUGCCGUACAAAACACAGCCACUUUCAAGGCUGCCUUAAUCACCCUCUCCACAUGAAGGUGAGAGCGAGUAUUGCUUUUUUUUCACCAUGGUCCACAAGACAGCAGCAGUAGUUAUCCCUGGGUGUCUCGGUGUUGCCGCUUUUCACAAAUCAGCUGAAGAAAAACAACUGACUUUAAGAUGACUCCGUGUACUGUCAUUCAUGGUCUAGACCUGCUCUAAAUGAAAAGAGAUAACUUUUGU